AGGGAUGAAAGGUGUUGACGUUAUAAAAAAAAAAUAUUUUUAGACAUGAAUAAAAAAAAAUUGUAAAUAAAACAAAAAAAAUAUAUAAUAUAUUUUAAUUAAAAAAAUAUAACUAAUAAAUCAUGUAAAUUUUUAUUUUUUAAAUAACGGAUAUGGGUUCAAUUCCCAUCAUCUCUACCA
rnacentral:tmRNA from 1 species